UUUUCAUCAGACGUGCGUCAGCCCCUACCUCUCCAAUCACCCUCCACCUGCCAUGUCCCCCCAACUCUGAGAUCAGAGGCAGAAAGAACGGGAAGGGGGAGAAGGAACAGCAACAGACAAGAGAACAGGAUGCACACACAGGAAGAAGACACGCAUCAGCAAAUGAAGACUGAUUUCAAGCCAAUAGUGCUAGACACAAGAGCCUGGAACAAGACAGUUGGUGCUACAGUUUUGGUGAACAGAAGCAAGGAGACGUGGCAUCCUCUUAUUACCGAGAACA